rnacentral:rRNA from 1 species
UACGUAGGGCGCAAGCGUUAUCCGGAAUUAUUGGGCGUAAAGAGCUCGUAGGCGGUUUGUCGCGUCUGCCGUGAAAGUCCGGGGCUCAACUCCGAGUCUGCGGUGGGUACGGGCAGACUAGAGUGAUGUAGGGGAGACUGGAAUUCCUGGUGUAGCGGUGAAAUGCGCAGAUAUCGGGAGGAACACCUGUGGCGAAAGCGGCUCACUGGACCAUUACUGACGCUGAUGCUCGAAAGCUAGGGAGCAAACAGGAUAGAUACCCUGACGUCCAGU